rnacentral:tRNA from 2 species
GGGUCUGUAGCCUAGUUGGUAAAGGAAGCACUCUGUAUGUGACUCAGCAUUGCUGAGGUUGUGAGUUCAAAUCUCACCAGGCACA